CGGCGGACGGGUGAGUAACGCGUGGGUAACCUGCCUCAUACAGGGGGAUAACAGCUGGAAAUGACUGCUAAUACCGCAUAAGACCACGGUACCGCAUGGUACAGUGGUAAAAACUCCGGUGGUAUGAGAUGGACCCGCGUCUGAUUAGGUAGUUGGUGGGGUAACGGCCUACCAAGCCGACGAUCAGUAGCCGACCUGAGAGGGUGACCGGCCACAUUGGGACUGAGACACGGCCCAG
rnacentral:rRNA from 1 species